rnacentral:rRNA from 1 species
UACGAAGGUCUCAAGCGUUGUUCGGAUUCAUUGGGCGUAAAGGGUGCGUAGGCGGCGCGGUAAGUCGGGUGUGAAAUCUCGGAGCUUAACUCCGAAACUGCAUUCGAUACUGCCGUGCUUGAGGACUGGAGAGGAGACUGGAAUUUACGGUGUAGCGGUGAAAUGCGUAGAUAUCGUAAGGAAGACCAGUGGCGAAGGCGGGUCUCUGGACAGUUCCUGACGCUGAGGCACGAAGGCCAGGGGAGCAAACGGG